rnacentral:rRNA from 1 species
GAAUAUUGGACAAUGGGGGGAACCCUGAUCCAGCCAUGCCGCGUGUGUGAAGAAGGCCUUUUGGUUGUAAAGCACUUUAAGCGAGGAGGAGGAGCUCUUGGUUAAUACCCAAGAUGCUUGGACGUUACUCGCAGAAUAAGCACCGGCUAACUCGGUGCCAGCCGCCGCGGUAAUACCGAGGGUGCAAGCGUUAAUCGGUUUUACUGGGCGUAAAGCGCGCGUAGGUGGCAAAUUAGGCCAAUGGGGAAACCCCGGAGCUAAACUUGGAAUUGCAUUCGAUACUGGUUGGCUAGAGUAUGGGAGAGGAUGGUAGAAUUCCAGGUGUAGCGGUGAAAUGCGUAGAGAUCUGGAGGAAUACCGAUGGCGAAGGCAGCCAUCUGGCCUAAUACUGACACUGAGGUGCGAAAGCAUGGGGAGCAAACA